rnacentral:rRNA from 1 species
AAACCGUUGAAAGGGAAGCGAAUGGAGUUAGCAAUUCGCCCUGUCAGACUCAGCCGGUCGCGAGUAGCGACGCGCGCGUUCUCGAUCCAUAUAGACGAGACGCGUGCGGGUGCGACUUGCGGUCGGCGCACUUCUGGCGGGCGAGCGUCAGCGUCGGUUGUCGACGGGCGAGAAGGUCGCGAGAAAGGUGGACCGGUCUCCUCACGACCGGUUGUUAAGCCUCGCGCUCGUACGGCCCGACGACGACCGUGGCUCGUGGAGGCGACGCGUGCCUGGCUGGCGACUCACCCGAUCGGUCCGGCAUGUCGACCGUGGCGGACGGCACGCCUGUGCGCUCGAACCGCUGCCGGUCGAUCGGAUGAUGUUCGCACACUACGCGUCGAAGAUGCUGACGACCAUACGGCUCCAUCCGACCCGUCUUGAAACACGGACCAAGGAGUCUAACAUGUGCGCGAGUCUCCGGGUGAUGGAAACCCGUGGGCAUAAUGAAAGUAAAGAUCGUCCCCGAGACGAUUGAGGUGAGAAGCUGCAUCAGCGGCCGCAUCAUCGACCGACCUAUUCUGCUCUCAGAAAGGUUUGAGUAAGAGCGUAUCUGUUGGGACCCGAAAGAUGGUGAACUAUGCCUGAAUAGGGUGAAGCCAGCGGAAACACUGGUGGAAGCUCGUAGCGAUUCUGACGUGCAAAUCGAUCGUCGAAUUUGGGUAUAGCGGCGAAAGACUAAUCGAACCAUCUAGUAGCUGGUUCCCUCCGAAGUUUCCCUCAGGAUAGCUGGAGUUCACGUGUGUGCAGU